UAGCUAGUUGGUGGGGUAAGGGCCUACCAAGGCGACGAUCGGUAGCUGGUCUGAGAGGAUGACCAGCCACACUGGAACUGAGACACGGUCCAGACUCCUACGGGAGGCAGCAGUGGGGAAUAUUGGACAAUGGGGGAAACCCUGAUCCAGCAAUGCCGCGUGUGUGAAGAAGGCCUGAGGGUUGUAAAGCACUUUCAGCGGGGAGGAGGGAGUAUAGGUUAAGAGCUAAUACUUUGGACGUUACCCACAGAAGAAGCACCGGCUAACUCCGUGCCAGCAGCCGCGGUAAUACGGAGGGUGCGAGCGUUAAUCGGAAUUACUGGGCGUAAAGGGUGCGUAGGUGGUCUGAUAAGUUAUCUGUGAAAUCCCUGGGCUCAACCUGGGCAGGUCAGAUAAAACUGUUAGACUCGAGUAUGGGAGAGGGUAGUGGAAUUUCCGGUGUAGCGGUGAAAUGCGUAGAGAUCGGAAGGAACACCAGUGGCGAAGGCGGCUACCUGGCCUAAUACUGACACUGAGGCACGAAAGCGUGGGGAGCAAACAGGAUUAGAUACCCUGGUAGUCCACGCUGUAAACGAUGUCAACUAGCUGUUGGAUAUAUGAAUAUAUUUAGUGGCGC
rnacentral:rRNA from 1 species